rnacentral:rRNA from 1 species
GACGAACGCUGGCGGCGUGCUUAACACAUGCAAGUCGAGCGGAAAGGCCCUGCUUUUGCGGGGUGCUCGAGUGGCGAACGGGUGAGUGACACGUGAGUAAACUGCCCUUGACUUUGGGAUAACUUCAGGAGACAGGGGCUAAUACCGGAUAGGAGCUCUUGCUGCAUGGUGGGGGUUGGAAAGUUGCGGCGGUUGGGGAUGGACUUGCGGCUUAUCAGCUGGAUGGUGGGGUAGUGGCUUACCAAGGCUUGGACGGGUAGCCGGCCUGGGAGGGUGACCGGCCACAGAGGGACUGGGAUAGGGCCAAGACUGCUACGGGAGGCAGCGGUGGGGAAUAGUGCGCAAAGGGCGGAGGCCGGAUGCAGCGACUUCGCGUGCGAGAUGACGGCCUUCGGGGUGUAAACCGCUUUCGCCUGUGACGAAGCGUGAGUGACGGUAAUGGGUAGAGAGGCUCCGGCAACCUACGU